rnacentral:rRNA from 1 species
GAGUUUGAUCCUGGCUCAGAUUGAACGCUGGCGGCAGGCCUAACACAUGCAAGUCGAGCGGUAACAGGUCCAGCUUGCUGGAUGCUGACGAGCGGCGGACGGGUGAGUAAUGCAUAGGAAUCUGCCCGAUAGUGGGGGAUAACCUGGGGAAACCCAGGCUAAUACCGCAUACGUCCUACGGGAGAAAGGGGGCUCCGGCUCCCGCUAUGGGAUGAGCCUAUGUCGGAUUAGCUAGUUGGUGAGGUAACGGCUUACCAAGGCCACGAUCCGUAGCUGGUCUGAGAGGAUGAUCAGCCACAUCGGGACUGAGACACGGCCCGAACUCCUACGGGAGGCAGCAGUGGGGAAUAUUGGACAAUGGGGGAAACCCUGAUCCAGCCAUGCCGCGUGUGUGAAGAAGGCCCUCGGGUUGUAAAGCACUUUCAGCGAGGAAGAACGCCUAGCGGUUAAUACCCGCUAGGAAAGACAUCACUCGCAGAAGAAGCACCGGCUAACUCCGUGCCAGCAGCCGCGGUAAUACGGAGGGUGCAAGCGUUAAUCGGAAUUACUGGGCGUAAAGCGCGCGUAGGUGGCUUGAUAAGCCGGUUGUGAAAGCCCCGGGCUCAACCUGGGAACGGCAUCCGGAACUGUCAAGCUAGAGUGCAGGAGAGGAAGGUAGAAUUCCCGGUGUAGCGGUGAAAUGCGUAGAGAUCGGGAGGAAUACCAGUGGCGAAGGCGGCCUUCUGGACUGACACUGACACUGAGGUGCGAAAGCGUGGGUAGCAAACAGGAUUAGAUACCCUGGUAGUCCACGCCGUAAACGAUGUCGACCAGCCGUUGGGUGCCUAGCGCACUUUGUGGCGAAGUUAACGCGAUAAGUCGACCGCCUGGGGAGUACGGCCGCAAGGUUAAAACUCAAAUGAAUUGACGGGGGCCCGCACAAGCGGUGGAGCAUGUGGUUUAAUUCGAUGCAACGCGAAGAACCUUACCUACUCUUGACAUCCUGCGAAUUCGGUAGAGAUACCUUAGUGCCUUCGGGAACGCAGAGACAGGUGCUGCAUGGCUGUCGUCAGCUCGUGUUGUGAAAUGUUGGGUUAAGUCCCGUAACGAGCGCA